rnacentral:rRNA from 1 species
UACGUAGGGUGCGAGCGUUAAUCGGAAUUACUGGGCGUAAAGCGUGCGCAGGCGGUUUGAUAAGUCUGAUGUGAAAUCCCCGGGCUCAACCUGGGAACUGCGUUGGAAACUGUCAGGCUAGAGUAUGGGAGAGGGAGGUAGAAUUCCACGUGUAGCAGUGAAAUGCGUAGAGAUGUGGAGGAAUACCGAUGGCGAAGGCAGCCUCCUGGCCUAAUACUGACGCUCAUGCACGAAAGCGUGGGGAGCAAACAGGAUUAGAAACCCGGGUAGU